GAUGAGUUCUCCCUGAGACUUUAAGUCUCCUGAAGGAACGUUGAAGACGACGACGUUGAUAGGCCGGGUGUGUAAGCGCAGCGAUGCGUUGAGCUAACCGGUACUAAUGAACCGUGAGGCUUAACCUUAC
rnacentral:rRNA from 1 species